UUGAACAACAACCAUCACCAAUUUUAUCUACUGCAUACAUUUUUUGAGAAAAGUGCAGCCUUUUAAAAAUAAAAAAGUUGCAUUACUUUAAGUGGCAUGUCUGUUUCCACUAACUUAUAUACAGAUGCAUGAUGUUGGUUUCACUCCUUUGAUUUUCAAAGUCCCAGCUUAGGAAUGGGGAAACUCUGACCCUCCAAAUGUUUUGGGGCCACAGCUCCCAACAUUCCUGAUCAUUGGCCAUGCUAGCUGGGGCUGAUGGGAGAUGGAGUUCAGUAACCUCAGAGGGCCACAGGUUCCCCAUCCCUGUCCUAACCACACUAAUAGGUUGCUUGAUUGACCCCCUAAGAUACCUAAUUGAAUAGCCUGCUGCUUGAAAGGGAUGCUUAUAUACCUGAUAGGAUUCUUUAUUAGAGUGCUAAGUCUUUUGUGAUAGAAAUUCAGUCUUAUCCAAAUGGCUUCAGAAAUGUUUCAUAGAAAUCAGAAGUAUAAACAGGAGUGAGAUUUAAUAAAGAUAAGCUGAGAUGAAGUAGGAGGGAGAAAAAUAAAUUAAUUGUAAAUGGAAUGACUAAGAGUCAUACACUUACUGCUAGCUAAGUUGCUCAAGGUAGGAGAUACUCCUAUUGAGAUUGAUGUUUCCCAUGCAUCACCAUCUAUGUGACCAGGAAUAUUUUCAUAACUUGCUUCCAGAUGAAAAGUUUGACAUGGAGUAAUACUGAUUUAUGGUGCAGAACUUCGGUAUACAGUGUCAAGAAUGUUGAACUCUUAACAGUAGACAAGAUAUUGUUUUUAUUUGUAAAGCAAACAGAGUGAUAUGAUAGAGCUAUUGUUGCUUGUGUUUCAUGUAGUCAUUUGUUUGUUAAACCAUCAUUUGAUUAAAUGCUAUUCACUA